ACCCGUUUAGUUUAUAUAUAAAAUAUGGCUCUGAAGAAGCUAAGAAGUUCAUUCACGGGUA
rnacentral:tRNA from 1 species